rnacentral:lncRNA from 1 species
ACACAAAAAUCAUAUGUUUCAUUUGAAUUUUUAUUCUGAGCAAAUUCUACAUCACAAUGAUAAUACAGUGAACCUUUAGUGUGCCAACAUCUCUAACGUCUAAAUUUCCACAAUUAUCAAAGCGAAUCCUGAUAACUUCGAUCAACGUAAUCAAUAAAUUCCCUUGCAUUUUCUGCUUUUAAUUUUGCAAAUAUCAGCAAUUAUUUGAGAUAGCCAAACAGAAUCGCCACAUCCCAUCCCAGGAUAGAGAUAAAAUUAAUUCA